GUAUGUGUCAAAUUGUGACACUGCAAUAGUUACUACUUGAGUUACUAUAUUAGUGCAAUUAAUUACACAACUAUAUAUAGUAAUUAGUUUCUCAGAUCUAAUAAUCCAGUAUCAACUGAGGGUUUUCGUAAUAGGUACUUAGUGUUGGAUGAAGCUGAUAGGAUGCUGGAUAUGGGAUUUGAACCUCAGAUACGUCGUAUAGUUGAACAAGAUACUAUGCCACCAAAGGGCGUUCGUCACACCAUGAUGUUUAGUGCUACUUUUCCUAAGGAAAUACAGAUGCUUGCUCGUGACUUUUUGGAUGAAUAUAUCUUUUUGGCUGUAGGCAGAGUAGGCUCUACCUCUGAGAACAUCACACAGAAAGUAGUUUGGGUGGAAGACUUAGAUAAACGGUCAUUUCUACUGGACAUUUUAGGUGCAGCAGGGACGGAUUCACUUACUUUAGUGUUUGUGGAGACCAAAAAGGGAGCAGAUUCCCUGGAGGAUUUCUUAUACCAUGAAGGAUAUGCUUGUACUA
rnacentral:sRNA from 1 species